GCCACGAUGAUGUUCCAGUUGAAGCAUCUGGUAGACUGCUGAUGUGUUUGAUGUGAACUGGGGUCUGAGG
ensembl:snoRNA